rnacentral:rRNA from 1 species
CCUACGGGAGGCAGCAGUGGGGAAUAUUGCACAAUGGGGGAAACCCUGAUGCAGCGACGCCGCGUGAGUGAAGAAGUAUUUCGGUACGUAAAGCUCUAUCAGCAGGGAAGAAAAUGACGGUACCUGACUAAGAAGCCCCGGCUAACUACGUGCCAGCAGCCGCGGUAAUACGUAGGGGGCAAGCGUUAUCCGGAUUUACUGGGUGUAAAGGGAGCGUAGACGGCAGCGCAAGUCUGGAGUGAAAUCCCAUGGCUUAACCAUGGAACUGCUUUGGAAACUGUGCAGCUAGAGUGCAGGAGAGGUAAGCGGAAUUCCUAGUGUAGCGGUGAAAUGCGUAGAUAUUAGGAGGAACACCAGUGGCGAAGGCGGCUUACUGGACUGUAACUGACGUUGAGGCUCGAAAGCGUGGGGAGCAAACAGGAUUAGAUACCCGGAUAGUC